CACAUUGUAGAUUUCAGUUCUCUGGGUUGUCGAUGACAUCAUCAUGUCAAUACGCCGGUAUUCAGUUCGUGAAGGCUGUUUCUUUAGGAGCUUUACCAAUUCUGCAGAGAUAUAAGAACUGCCAGCCCCUGUAUCCAAGAGGGCUCUACAUUUUAUUCCAUCAACAACCGCUACAACAACUGGAUAUACCACCGUCCCUUUACCAGUAGCCAACAUCAUUUGUUUAGAUACACUCGCUUGGUCAUCACAUAUAGAGGUGUGGUGUUUCGCAUUACACCGAAAGCAAGUUGUUUUACUUCGACAUUCGGAUGCUCGGUGCUUGACACCAGUGCAGUUGAAGCAUAGCUUUUUCUCUGACAAGAUCUUCUUUCGAGAUGGAACGUCCACAACUUGGUUGCAGUCUACAGAUUUGUGUAGGGUUGACUCACAGAACACACACGGCUUCGGUUUCCACAACUCCUGUUUGGGAUGUUUGGCUGGUACCCUUGUGAUCCGACUUACGAUCUUCCUCUGAUAUGGGGUUCCUCACACACCAUUUUCGCAGUGCUUCUACCAACUCGCUAAACC